AGGACGAACGCUGGCGGCGUGCUUAACACAUGCAAGUCGAGCGGAAAGGCCCUUCGGGGGUACUCGAGCGGCGAACGGGUGAGUAACACGUGAGUAACCUGCCCCAGACUUUGGGAUAACCCUCGGAAACGGGGGCUAAUACCGAAUAUGACUUAGCCGCAUGGGUUUUUGUGGAAAGUUUUUCGGUUUGGGAUGGACUCGCGGCCUAUCAGCUUGUUGGUGAGGUAAUGGCUCACCAAGGCGAGGACGGGUAGCC
rnacentral:rRNA from 1 species